rnacentral:rRNA from 1 species
GGUUAAGCUAGUAAGGGCACACGGUGGAUGCCUAGGCGCUAGGAGCCGACGAAGGACGUGGCGAACGACGAAAUGCCUCGGGGAGCCGUAAGCAGGCUUCGAUCCGGGGAUGUCCGAAUGGGGAAACCCACGCGUGGUAAUGCGCGCGUACCCGUUGCUGAAUCCAUAGGCAAUGCGGAGGCACACCCAGGGAACUGAAACAUCUAAGUACCUGGAGGAAGAGAAAACAAGAGUGAUUCCGUCAGUAGCGGCGAGCGAACGCGGAACAGCCUAAACCGAGGGACUUGUCCCUCGGGGUUGUGGGACGUCAACGUGGCAAAAGCAGGUUAGGUGAAGCGGUCUGGAAAGGCCCAUCACAGGGGGUAACAAUCCCGUAGCCGAAAGUCUGCGUAUGCCUAGACGAAUCCCGAGUAGUGCGGGGCACGUGAAACCCCGUAUGAAUCCGGCAGGACCAUCUGCCAAGGCUAAAUACUCCCUAGCGACCGAUAGUGAAGCAGUACCGUGAGGGAAAGGUGAAAAGAACCGCGGGAGCGGAGUGAAAAGAACCUGAAACCGUGUGCUUACAAAAAGUCAGAGCCCGUUAAUGGGUGAUGGCGUGCCUUUUGUAGAAUGAACCGGCGAGUUACGGUCACGUGCAAGGUUAAGCCGAAGAGGCGGAGCCGCAGCGAAAGCGAGUCUGAAUAGGGCGCCCAUAGUACGUGGCUGUAGACCCGAAACCGUGUGAUCUACCCCUGUCCAGGGUGAAGGUGCGGUAACACG